rnacentral:snRNA from 1 species
AUACUUACCUGGACAGGGGGAGACACCAUGAUCAAGAAGGGCGGUUCACUCCCCAGGGCAGGCUUGUCCAUUGCACUCCGGCCAUGCUGACCCCUGCGAAUUCCCCAAAUGCGGGAAAUCUCGACUGCAUAAUAUUAUGGUAAGUGGGGACGCGUUCGCGCUCUCCCCUG